CACACACACACACACACACACACACACACACACACACACACACUUCUCUAAGAAGUAAAAGGAUUACAUUCAAACAUUUCUAUCACUUCACAAAAGCAAUGGUUUACCAUCCUAAACCAUUUAUGGUCCUGUUGUAAACCACCAUGCAUUCUCAAGCCUAUAAGAACAAAAGUUGAUCCUUACCUCAGCGUGAAUGAAAUGGUUGUACGUUUCCUCAAAGUUAAAGAAUCUGUUUUUGUAGUAGCAGACAAGAUGGUAUGGUCUGCUAGCUCUCGAGUGAGUGACAGAAGCUGAAGUCAAUGCAUGAACUUUUGCAGCCUUUUGCUGAACACACACAAACUCUUCAGAGUGACACAUUGUCUAUGUCAUUAAUACUCUCUUUGAGAUGUUCACGUUGGAUUUCGUAUGUUCAGUCUUAAACUUUGUGUUUAAAUGUGUUAUUUACAUGCAGCUCACUGACACUUUUUGACCAGAACUAAAACUAUUGUGUAAAACUCUCUGUCCAGCAGCACAUCAAAUUAAUGGUUGUAAACACACACACACACACACACACACACACACACACACACACACACACACACACACACACACACACACGCACACACACACACUUCUCUAAGAAGUAAAGGGAUUACAUUCAAACAUUUGUCUUUGACUAAACCAUUCAAACAUUUCUAUCACUUCACAAAAGCAAUGGUUUACCAUCCUAAACCAUUUAUGGUCCUGUUGUAAACCACCAUGCAUUCUCAAGCCUAUAAGAACAAAAGUUGAUCCUUACCUCAGCGUGAUGCUUUUAAGAUCUGUUGAGCUUUUUUAAAGUUCAUUCUGAACAAUUUUGCACAGCCAGCGACUUCUGACAAAGCAAAUGACUUCUUUUUUUUUUGCAGGUGGCGGGAAAGUUUUAAAAACAAAGAACUGGUUGAACCAAAUCGUCACAGAAACAACACACAAAAAGCAAAUUACUUACUUUUUUUGCAGGUGGGCUGUAUUGAAAGAGUGGCGGGAAAGUUUUAAAACAAAGUUCUGGUUCAUUCUAAACAAGUCGGCAUGGUAACAAUUCACAAAAGCAAAUGACUUGCUAUUGUUUCAAAGAGCUAUUUAGGUGAACAGCAUCCUUUGGUUCGUCAUCAUCAACACUGAAAGCUUAACCCCUCGCCUCCUGCCUUUAGUGUCACAUUUUGUUUUCACUGUCACACACACACACACACACACACACACACACACACACACACACACACACACACACACACACACACACACACACACACACAUUGCUUCCUGCCUCAGAGAAAAGAUUUGAUCCAUUUUGUAGGACCUAUAACAGCUGAAAUAAAUAAAAAGCUGUUUAUGAGGUUUGUUUUUUGGGAGGGGUGGAUUAGUAAAGUCUCAGAGCAGACGUACCUCUGGUCAAACCUUUAAUGUCAUACCUCUCAGAAUAGUUAAACUAAGGCACAUGCAUGUCGUAAACGGAUUUACACACGAGUGAAAGAGCUGCUACAUUUUAACCAAAACAUGAGCGAAGAAGAAGAAUAAGAAGAACCGAUGGAUACGUGUUUUGAAUAUAGCCUUCCUCUGCUAAAAACAACGUUCGAAUUGAGACAUGAUGAGAUUUCAGGAAGAAAUGUCCGGUACAAAAACGGUACGGUAUUAUUUUUUGGAUCGUAAAGGUUUUUUUAUUUCUGCUCCGGGGAGUUUUGAUGAAGCAAUGGAUACGAGCACACACACACACACACACACACACACACACACACACACACACACACACACACACACACACACCCAUCUGGCAGAUGUUCACGUUGGAUUUCGUAUGUUCAGUCUUAAACUUUGUGUUUAAAUGUGUAAAUAUUUACAUGCAGCUCACUGACACUUUUUGACCAGAACUAAAACUAUUGUGUAAAACUCUCUGUCCAGCAGCACAUCAAAUUAAUGGCUGUAAGCACACACACACACACACACACACACACACACACACACACACACACACACACACACACAACUCUAAACAACCAUUCAUACAUUUGUCUACCUAUACAACAAAGCAAAUGACUCUGUAUUGUUUAUAAACAUUUUUUUUUCGACCAAUCGCAACCGUUUUCUAUUCAAGAUUUUUUUAAACAGCUGUAUAAAAUGUAAAAGCGCAUUUUCGGAGUCGUGAUUUGAGGUGUAACAAGCUAAGAUGACGGGUAAGUUUUUAACUCAAGACGCAAAUCUUUUUUUUUUCUCUUUCUGGUUUAACAUCUUUAUUUUCAGACGCUAUUGUCAUAUCGGACGGCGAGUGGGAAGAAAUUCCUAUUGAGGAAUUAACUUGUAAGACACCGGUCCCCCUGGAUGAUUUGUCUAAAAUUAAUCGCGCGGUCGAGAAUCUGAGUGAGUGGAUUUUAUAAAUAUAUACGUAACGUUCUUUUCUUCAACUGAGAAAUAUCUCAUUUUACAGAAAAGGAGGGGGUUCAACCUUACCCCGGAAGUGAUAACUUUUACCCAACCACGCCUCCAUCCACCAGCCGAACCGUCUUACAUUCGUAUCAGCCCAGCCAUACCGUCAGAUCACACGGGAAUGCGAGCGUGAAAGCUGUUCGUUACAGGACCAUCACGCCGCAGACGAUCCUCGAAGCUGAGCAACGUCCGACGGCCUACGCACCCCCAAUAUCUCAGCCCCCACCACCUCCAACCCCUUCUCAUGCGCGGUCGGAUGAACAACAUCAGACAGCCGCUUCAAUAUCUACG